GAUGAACGCUAGCGGCAGGCCUAAUACAUGCAAGUCGGACGGGAUCCAUUGAUAGCUUGCUAUCAAUGGUGAGAGUGGCGCACGGGUGCGUAACGCGUGAGCAACCUGCCUCCAUCAGGGGGAUAGCCUCUCGAAAGAGAGAUUAACACCGCAUAAUAUCAACAGUUCGCAUGUUCAGUUGAUUAAAUAUUUAUAGGAUGGAGAUGGGCUCGCGUGACAUUAGCUAGUUGGUAGGGUAACGGCUUACCAAGGCGACGAUGUCUAGGGGCUCUGAGAGGAGAAUCCCCCACACUGGUACUGAGACACGGACCAGACUCCUACGGGAGGCAGCAGUAAGGAAUAUUGGUCAAUGGGCGGAAGCCUGAACCAGCCAUGCCGCGUGCAGGAUGACUGCCCUAUGGGUUGUAAACUGCUUUUGUCCAGGAAUAAACCUAAAUACGAGUAUUUAGCUGAAUGUACUGGAAGAAUAAGGAGCGGCUAACUCCGUG
rnacentral:rRNA from 1 species